CUCCUCAGAGAUUCUGCCAGAGCCUGACAAACACAGAGGUAAAACUUUACUUCCCAUCGAUCUGUGAGGGCUGCAUGGCCAGCAUCACCACCCCAGCUACAGAGAGGAAGCCUUAGGACCCUUUACGUCCACCUGUAAAAAGCAGAAUUGAUACUGGAACCAAGCCCAUCUCAAAAUCCACUACGAAAGACCUCACACUUUCAUGUUAUUGUUGGGACAUGGCCCGGGAAUGGAAUCACGGGAGGAGAAUUCUGAGUGCUUGUGAGAACACACAAGAAAAGAAGACAAGAGUCUUGUUGCCUCUGUUUCUUUAAAACAUGGAAUUGUUCUUUAAAGACGGCUUCUCCCAGGUGAAAUGGGUGGGGUAAGUCUACUUCACAUUACUCCAAUUGCUUGCUAUGGUCUUUAAUUAAAUAUUUAAAUUAUGCUUUACAAGCUUUAUGGAAAACAUGUCUCAGUCAUGGGCAGUGUGUCCUUCUGAUGGUACACAGCUUGAACUCAUAAGAACUUCACUCAUGUGACCUUUCUUAACCCUCAGAGUAUAAGGUGUCUGCGGCUCUGAAUAAAGCUGGCUGGUGUAUGGGACUUUAGUCCCCCUCAUCUACUGGCUCCACUCUCCCGGGUCCCUCCAGCUCUAGAGUUGUGACAACUUAUUUUUAUUAGUAUAUUUGAUUGCAUUAGAUAAUGGGCUUCACCAGGACAUUUUCAUACAUGUACAGAUGUGCUUUGAUUACCACCCCAUCACCCUCUCCAGUCCCCUGCCUCAUCCACAGGUUCCUCCUUAUUCCUAAGCAGUCUCCGUUCUGUCCGCUUUUGAUGGUUCUUUGUUUGGUUUGGUUUUCUCACUAGACCUCAAACCACCACAAUGCUCACAAGAAACCCACCUCCUCUGCUACAGUAUUCUAAUUAAUGCUGUUGUUCCUUUUCUAUCCCCCUCUCCAUGUCAGAAGUGGAAUCCAGGGCUUUGAACAUCCUAGGCAUGCACUGCCCUGCUCAGCAACAUCCUCAGCGACUUAAUCUUUUCAGUAAAUGCAGGGUCAGUGGCCAGGGCCUCUCCCAACUGCUGUAGCCUGCCUCCAAAAUAGCCCCCAGGGGCCAUCGCUUUCUAACACUCAGGCCUGUGUAGCCCCAUCUACUACUGAAUGACCAUGACCUAUGCAACCAAUGAGGCACAUGUGUGAUUUGUGAGGUAGAGCCUGAAGGCACUGUGGCUUCUACCUUGUCCCUUGAGCCUUGGGAAGCCUCUCUAUGCAGAGGCCUGAAGACCUCUGCCAAUGACCAACCACAAGCUGUGAGGCCCAGGAUUGAGGCACUACCUGCGAGAUGAAGCCUCCAGUCCCAUCAAACCAUCAGAGAUGGCAGCCUAGCUAAGAGCAGAGAGCUUCACUGCAUCCUGACCAGGCCUCCCCACCCCUCCCAGUCCUAGAAGGCCCAAGCAAAGCCUCUCCCGAAUGUCUCCACACAGGAACUGUACGAGAUAGUACAUAUUCAUUGUUCUCAGUCAAUAAAUCUAGAAUUUGUUACACAGUAAUAAUGGCAAAGCACCCUUAUCUUUCUAGGACUUCCAGAGCUCAAUGGAUAAUCAGUGCUUGUCAAUUUGAAUGAGGCAAAACCAAGGAACUGUUGACUCAGCAACAAUCUCCUACUUUUGUGACAAAGACACUGUAUGUGUGACUCAGCAGGGUUAGCUGUGUCAUCUGUGGCCACACACGUUUUGAGAAUAUUUUGGAUAAAUAAAAGUCAAGAUAGAACUGUAGGCAGUAUUUAUCUUAAAUGUCUUUAAAACUACUGGGGAGUCUGUAGUGGUAUUUUUCCCCCUGAUGAAUAAAGAUUGCAAGAAACCAAUCACUGGGCGAGAAGGUGGGACUUCCAGGUCAGGGAGAGGAAGAGGGAACGCAGGAGAAAGAGACUGGUUUUCUGUACAGCGGGAGCAAGCAGACACAUUGUAGGAAGCCAGAGGCUGUUGGUUCAAGUGGCAGAUCCUGGUGGAUUUCUAACACAGAAUAGUGUGUAAAAUUAGGAUGUUACAUUCUGCACUCAGCAAUUGUUACCUAUUGAUUCUAAACUAAGAUUGUGUGGUGUUUUCCUUUACGAGGAAACUCAACUGGGUUCCAUAGAGAGGUAACUGCAGCAGAUUGUGGGUUUGCAGAAGUGCUGCACCCCAGCCAGCCGAGGGAACUUGGAAGUGCAGGACAGGCUUGGCAGCAGCGAGCCACAGGGAGGAAAGAGUGAUUACUGAGCUCUGGAAAGGUGGAGCCAGCCUUGGGACAGGCUUUAGCUAAAGUAGACAGGCUGAGAACAUGCCGGUCUGCUGGCCAGCACCUAGCGGGCACUAGCGUGGAUUUGGUUUUUAAUAACUCAUGCUACAGGAGUCUCUGUCUAUUUCCUAACAAAUAAAGGCUGCUUUUGCUCCACA
rnacentral:sRNA from 1 species